rnacentral:tRNA from 1 species
UUUUUCGUGGUGUAGUGGUUAGCACGCUUGACGCGUAACCGAGAGAUCCGUGGUUCGAUUCCCGGCGAAGGCG